rnacentral:rRNA from 1 species
CAAUAGCGUAUAUUUAAGUUGCUGCAGUUAAAAAGCUCGUAGUUGGAUUUCGGGUGGGAAUGGCCGGUCCGCCGUUUCGGUGUGCACUUGCUACGCCCACCUUGCUGCCGGGGACGUGCUCUUGAGUUCACGCUCGGGACACGGAGUCGGCGAGGUUACUUUGAGUAAAUUAGAGUGUUCAAAGCAGGCCUAAGCUCUGAAUACAUUAGCAUGGAAUAACACGAUAGGACUCUGGCCUAUCUUGUUGGUCUGUAGGACCGGAGUAAUGAUUAAGAGGGACAGUCGGGGGCAUUCGUAUUUCAUUGUCAGAGGUGAAAUUCUUGGAUUUAUGAAAGACGAACUACUGCGAAAGCAUUUGCCAAGGAUGUUUUCAUUAA